GACGAACGCUGGCGGCGUGCCUAAUACAUGCAAGUAGAACGCUGAAGCUUGGUGCUUGCACCGAGCGGAUGAGUUGCGAACGGGUGAGUAACGCGUAGGUAACCUGCCUGGUAGCGGGGGAUAACUAUUGGAAACGAUAGCUAAUACCGCAUAAGAGUAGAUGUUGCAUGACAUUUGCUUAAAAGGUGCAAUUGCACCACUACCAGAUGGACCUGCGUUGUAUUAGCUAGUUGGUGAGGUAACGGCUCACCAAGGCAACGAUACAUAGCCGACCUGAGAGGGUGAUCGGCCACACUGGGACUGAGACACGGCCCAGACUCCUACGGGAGGCAGCAGUAGGGAAUCUUCGGCAAUGGACGGAAGUCUGACCGAGCAACGCCGCGUGAGUGAAGAAGGUUUUCGGAUCGUAAAGCUCUGUUGUAAGAGAAGAACGAGUGUGAGAGUGGAAAGUUCACACUGUGACGGUAUCUUACCAGAAAGGGACGGCUAACUACGUG
rnacentral:rRNA from 1 species